UAGGGAAUUUUCCACAAUGGGCGAAAGCCUGAUGGAGCAACGCCGCGUGCAGGAUGAAGGCCUUCGGGUCGUAAACUGCUUUUAUCUGUGACGAUUUUGACGGUAGCAGAUGAAUAAGGAUCGGCUAACUCCGUGCCAGCAGCCGCGGUCAUACGGAGGAUCCAAGCGUUAUCCGGAAUUACUGGGCGUAAAGAGUUGCGUAGGUGGCAUAGUAAGUAGAGCGUGAAAGCGUGCGGCUCAACCGUAUACACAUGUUCUAAACUGCUAAGCUAGAGUAUGAGAGAGGUCACUGGAAUUGCUAGUGUAGGGGUAAAAUCCGUAGAUACUUAGUAGGAACACCAAUGGCGUAGGCAGGUGACUGGCUCAUUACUGACACUAAGGCACGAAAAGCGUGGGGAGCAAAACA
rnacentral:rRNA from 1 species